UACACACUGCCCGUCACACCACGAAAGUUGGGUCUUCCAGAAGAUGGUGCGCUAACCUCGGAGGUAGCCAUCCCAAGGAAAGGACCGAUGAUUGGGGGUG
rnacentral:rRNA from 1 species